GACUGCAGCUGGAAGUCUCGAUUGGUGCCUCGGGUAUACUUUCCAGCAGGAGUGAAAAGGAGGGGAAGCCUUCUCCGAAUUGGGUAGGAGUGGAAUGCAGGAAGGAGCCAGAUGUUGGCAGACGUUUGCAGCGAAGUCUCCCAAUGGUCGGGAGCUCGAGUCAGCAAAUAGUGAGAAUAGGAGCUGUCAGCCACAUGGAGACACUUAAAGGUAAAUGAGAAAGUUUUGGCUCUGAUACUAUAUUAUAUUACAGGACCUAUGACCUCAUAAGGCAUAUGUUUGUUUUCAUGAACGCAUAAGAGUGCACUUUGAUUUUACUGGACCUGAAUCCCCAGUAGACUGAGUUGAAAAUAAGCGUUCAAGGUCCCUCUGUCCCUUCAGCACAAGCUGUACCUGCAAAUAGAAAAACAACCCAAAACAAAGCUCACACACACACUGAAGGGCUAACAGAUGCACAGUGAGGAAACUCUCCCCACUUUGGCCUGUGCAAACAGGGUCAUCAAAGUCUGAGUGUGCCACUUCCCUGAGGGUGGGCAGCAGCGCCCGGUGGUCCCAGGCACAAAGCUGGCCGCAGGCAAGGCGGAAAAUGAAAAGGACGCAUGAAAGUCACGGAUGGAUUCUUUCUUCAGCCCACCUCUGGCUUGAUGUUACCCAUCCAGACUCGCGUGUGUACAUGCUCACUUUGCUCUACUUGGCAGGACAAAACAGCUCCCCCUCUAUAGACUCUUAAAACCAAGCUCUUCCUGACACAACCUCAGCACUUUUAUUCAGCCUUGGGGCUGGCCGUAGUUGGAAAUCAGCAUAUUAGUUACACGGCCUUAUGGAUUUAUCAUGUCAUUUGAUGACCCGAUAAAGGGGUGGGAGUCAAACCUUGAUGAAACAUUCUCAGCUUUUCACA